rnacentral:rRNA from 1 species
AUUGAACGCUGGCGGCAGGCCUCACACAUGCAAGUCGAACGAGUGGCGGACGGGUGAGUAAUGUCUGGGAAACUGCCUGAUGUAGGGGGAUAACUACUGGAAACGGUAGCUAAUACCGCAUACCAUCAGAUGUGCCCAGAUGGGAUGAGAUUGUUGGUGGGGUAACGGCUCACCAAGGCGACGAUCCCUAGCUGGUCUGAGUGGAUGACCAGCCACCUUGGAACUGAGACACGGUCCAGACUCCUACGGGAGGCAGAAGUGUGAAAUAUUGCACCAUGGGCGCAAGCCUGAUGCAGACAUGCCACGUGUAUGAAGAAGGCCUUCGGGUUGGAAAGUACUGUCAGCGGGAAGGCGGUGCCCGCAGAAGAAGCACCGGCUAACUACGUGCCAGCCGCCGCGGUAAUUC